rnacentral:rRNA from 1 species
AUUGAACGCUGGCGGCAGGCCUAACCCAUGCAAGUCGAGCGAGCGGCGGACGGGUGAGUAAUGUAUGGGGACUGCCCGAUAGAGGGGGAUAACUACUGGAAACGGUGGCUAAUACCGCAUACUAUCGGAUAACCCAUAUGGGAUUAGCUAGUGGGGGGGGUAAAGGCUCACCUAGGCGACGAUCUCUACCUGGUCUGAGAGGAUGAUCAGCCACAGUGGGACUGUUACGCGGCCCAGACUCCAAGGGAGGCAGCAGUGGGGAAUAUUGCACAAUGGGCGAAAGCCUGAUACAGCCACGCCGCGUGUAUGAAGAAGGCCUUAGGGUUGUAAAGUACUUUCAGCGGGGAGGCGUUACCCGCAGAAGAAGCACCGGCUAACUCCGUGCCAGCAGCCGCGGUAAUUC